rnacentral:tRNA from 1 species
AGCGCUGUGGAGCAGCUGGUAGCUCGCUGGGCUCAUAACCCAGAGGUCGCAGGUUCGAGCCCUGUCGGCGCUA